rnacentral:rRNA from 1 species
GAGUUUGAUCCUGGCUCAGAACGAACGUUGGCGGCGUGGAUUAGGCAUGCAAGUCGAACGAAUCCCUGGAGGCUUGCUUUCAGGGGGAAGUGGCGAAAGGGGCAGUAAGGCGUGGGUAACCUACCUCGGGGACGGGGAUAGCCUUCCUAACGGGAGGGCAAUACCCGGCGAUAUCCGGUAGUCGCAUGGCAUCCGGAUGAGAUGAAUUUCGCCUCGGGAGGGGCUCACGUGGUAUUAGCUAGUUGGUGGGGUAACGGCCCACCAAGGCGAAGAUGCCUAGCGGGUGUGAGAGCACGACCCGCGCCACUGGCACUGAGACACUGGCCAGACUCCUACGGGAGGCUGCAGUCGAGGAUCUUCGGCAAUGGGCGCAAGCCUGACCGAGCGACGCCGCGUGUGCGAUGAAGGCCUUCGGGUUGUAAAGCACUGUCGAGGGGGAGGAAAGCCCGCAAGGGUCUGACCUAUCCCUGGAGGAAGCACGGGCUAAGUUCGUGCCAGCAGCCGCGGUAAGACGAACCGUGCAAACGUUGUUCGGAAUCACUGGGCUUAAAGGGCGCGUAGGCGGGCAAGCAAGUCCGGGGUGAAAUCCUCCAGCUUAACUGGAGAAGUGCCUCGGAUACUGCUGGUCUUGAGCGAGAUAGGGGAUGCUGGAACUUCCGGUGGAGCGGUGAAAUGCGUUGAUAUCGGAAGGAACGCCGGUGGCGAAAGCGAGCAUCUGGACCUCUUCUGACGCUGAGGCGCGAAAGCCAGGGGAGCGAACGGGAUUAGAUACCCCGGUAGUCCUGGCCCUAAACGAUGGGUACUAGGUAGAGGACUUGACAUGGGUUCUCUGCCGAA